UACAGGCCCCCGACAUUUCCCCAGAGCAGGCGGAGCUGCUGUCUGGUUUCACCAGAGAAACAGGCAACCCCCGCUCCGGAGCGCACGAGUCACAGCGCUGCGCUCCGCCGCACCCCGGCCCUGCCUGGCGUGAGCGAUAAACAGGGCCACGUCCGGGACCAGAGCGGGGCCACACCUCGCACCCCCACGGGCUGGGCGCGCUUGCAGCGGGGCGGGCAGGCGCGGGCGCUCAGCUCCGGGCCGCAAGACCAGCGAGAGGCUCGAGCCGCCCGGGACCAGCCCGGCAAGGCUGCGACACAUCGAGUUUCUCGGCGCCGCGCCGCGCCGCGCCGCGCGUCCCCCCGCCCCGCGUAGGCCCGCGAGGCCGGGGCUCACUCACCGCUUGCGCCGCUUUGAGCAGCAGGCGCUGCAGGGCAUGUAAAUCCCCAGUGACCACAAUGUUGCCCUGGAAUCCUUGAGUGUGUGUAGAGAGGACUCCGUAUAUUCACUGAAGAGCUUGGAUCCUUCAAGCACCUUUCUGGGAAGACCAGAGAACUUGAGCCAGGACACACUCAUGAUCACAGCUGUGGCAAUGUACCUGGAGGCUGUGUUGAUGGCAUCUAGGGCAGCUUGGAGGGAGCUUUUUGAGAUUAACUGCCCAUACAAGAUGGGCUAAAAUUGCUCUCUUUGGACUUGUGGGAGGUGAUAAAUAAAAUGUGUAAAUUCUGA